UACGUAGGGGGCAAGCGUUGUCCGGAUUUAUUGGGCGUAAAGGGCGGGUAGGCGGCCGGGUAGGUCGGCUGUGAAAACUCGAGGCUCAACCUCGAGACGCCGGUUGAAACCAUCUGGCUAGAGUCCGGAAGAGGAGAGUGGAAUUCCUGGUGUAGCGGUGAAAUGCGCAGAUAUCAGGAAGAACACCCGUGGCUAAGGCGGCUCUCUAGUACGGUACUGACGCUGAGACGCGAAAGCGUGGGGAGCGAACAGG
rnacentral:rRNA from 1 species